rnacentral:rRNA from 1 species
GAUGAACGCUGGCGGCGUGCCUAAUACAUGCAAGUCGAGCGAACGGACGCGAAGCUUGCUUCGCUGAUGUUAGCGGCGGGCGGGAGAGUAACACGAGGAUACUCCACCUAUAAGACUGGGAUAAUCUCGGGAAACCGUCGCUAACCCCGGAUAAUCUUUUGAACCGCAUGGGUCAAUAGUGAAAGACGGUGUUGCGGUCUGUUAUAGAUGGAUCUGCGCUGGAUUAGCUAGUUGGUAAGGUAACGGGUUUCCAAGGCAACGAUGCAUAGCCGACCUGAGAGGGUGGUAGGCCACACUAGAACUUGGACGCGGUCCAGAGUCCUACGGGAGGCCGCAGUAGGGAAUCUUCCGCAGUAGGCGGGAGCCUGACGGAGCAACGCCACGUGUGUGAUGACGGUCUUCGGAUCGUAAAACUCUGUUAUUGGGUAAGAACAUAUGUGUAAGUAACUGUGCAGUGCUUGACGGUACCUAAUCAGAAAGCCACGGCUAACUACGUG